rnacentral:rRNA from 1 species
GCGUAUGCGAUGCGGAGGGACAUUACAGAGUUAUCUAACUCCCAAACCCAAUGUGAACCUACCUAUGUUGCCUCGGCGGGAGAAGCCUACCCGGUACCUACCCUGUAGCUACCCGGGAACUACCCUGUAGCUACCCGGGAACUACCCUGUAGUUGAUGGCGGACCCGCCGGUGGACAUUUUAAAAACUCUUGUUUUACUGUGACACUCUGAGUAACAAACUAAAUAAGUUAAAACUUUCAACAACGGAUCUCUUGGUUCUGGCAUCGAUGAAGAACGCAGCGAAAUGCGAUAAGUAAUGUGAAUUGCAGAAUUCAGUGAAUCAUCGAAUCUUUGAACGCACAUUGCGCCCAUUAGUAUUCUAGUGGGCAUGCCUGUUCGAGCGUCAUUUCAACCCUUAAGCCUUAGUUGCUUAGCGUUGGGAGGUUGCCUCUCGCAACUCCCUAAAAUCAGUGGCAAGGACCACGACACCUUGAAGUGUAGUAGUUUAAUUCUCACUUUGGAGGACCGUAGCCCAGCCAUAAACCAACUAUUUUUAAUUAUUGGUUGACCUCGGAUCAGGUAGGAAUACCCGCUGAACUUAAGCAUAUCAUAACGGGGAGAGGAAAAA